UUUCUUUUCCUCGGCGUUUUAUUCACUUAUAACAGAAACAUUCACUUAUCAGGUAUCACUGAAGUGCAAUUUACAGAACUUAGCAGCAAAUUCACAUCUGUAAAUUCAGAUUUAAUUCUGUUUGUACAAAUCUUACAAAUGUACAUCCAUUCGUACAGUAUUGCCAUUCACUCAUGCUCGCGUAUGUACAUUGUCUUCCCUUUAGAAUAUCCUCACGAGUCAUUCUCCCUUGCUUCAGGAAAUGCAGAGGUGGUGCUGAGCAAUGGGUUUUGUCAGAAUGCAUCAACAGAGCAUCGCACGGGGGAAUCAAACUUGGGGGCCGUGGAGUCAAACAGAAAGAAUCCUUUGGGGCUUUCAAUGGAGUUAACAAACAUAGCCCACAGAAUUUUGCCACAUUUCUUGUUAAUUUGGUAUUUCUGCAGUAUUGGGCUGCUCUGCCCAGAGAAGAUCCCGGGAGUGGGUGGGUGGGAGAUUAACACAAAGGGUGAGUAAACUCGGAAAACACCACAAAUAUUUUUCAGGGCCUAUUAUAUGGGGCAUUUUUGUAGGUGUCCAAUUGGGGCAAGGGGUUGUGCUGCAGAAAUCCAGAGGCUGUUUCAAACCUCUACUUUUCAUAGAAGUUUGCUGGAGCCAUAUAAACAUUUGAGAGCUCUGAUUUUCUUCAGGCCUCAUAUGAUAUAGUUCCCUUUGCACUCACCAAAAUUCACAUUAUAACAGAAAGUCCAGCGAGGCGCUGGAUGAAAGCCAGCUUCUGCGAAGGUAAGGGCAAGGAAAGGAAGUGGGUUUAGAAUUCUGCUUUGUUUGCUGUGCUGUGCCAAUCAUGGGACUGUCAUGUAUGCGCUCAAGCAUGUGCAGAGUUCCAGCUUCUUUAUUUUUAAUUAUUUUGCACUACCUACUAAGUACUUCUAUAAUGCCCUUCAAUAUGCUGGCCUGUGUGGGGAAUAACUUUGGGUUCUUUAUAAAGAGGGGGGAAGUAAAUCACUUCAGAUCUUUCUCCUUGCUGGAAAAUCCUUUUAGGGGGAAAAACAGCCCUUUAUAUUUUAUUUUCUCUCCCCCCCACUUCCCUUUGUAACAAUGAUCUGUUAAGGCAUAAGAGAAUGCAAUGAAAUCUCUUAAUGACACUGUUCUAUUUUUCCUUUACUCUCUGCUUUGCUUAGUGUUCAAAUCUGAAGGAUUUUCCCUUCUUUUUUGUAUAUUUGUUCUUUCUCCUCACCAUAAUUGUUGCUUAGAAGGUCUUAUGUUUAUCUCUCUAAUUUGGGAAGUUGUCUAUUUGUAAUGCCUUACAGUGACACUACAUGGCGAGACUAAUACAAUUUUAUCUAUAUUUUUAAUGUAUAUGUUAUGCAAAGAGAUUUGGCAUACAGGCUGUUCUUUUAAAGGCCCCUGUUUGAACCUUAUACCCCGGGCUCCAUGUUUAUCAUACUAAGAGAGCUGGUGUUAUCAGGAGUCAAAUCUCCUCUCAGUCAUGAAACUCACUGGGUGACCUUGGGCCUAGCUCUCUGCCUAACUACCUCACAGGGUUGUUGUGAGAAGAAAAGGAGGAGAGGAAGAACCAUGUAUGCAGAACCUUGAUCUCCUUGGAGGAAAGGAAUGGGCAUACAUGUAACAGUAAUAACAGCAUCAAAUCUUUUCCUUCGAUGAAUGCUUAUUCUGCACUACACAUCAGUGGUGACUUAACUUUUUUUUUUGAAAAUUUUAUGAGGGUUUUUGAUGGACUGAGGCAGGUCAGUGCGUCCCACUGUGUUUGUGUUUAUGUGAAACUUUUCAUUCCAUCAGCAUGUGAGCCCUGUGAUGAAAGUUUCCUCAGUGUGCCAUUUUUCUACACUUAAGUACUCUUGCUUAAUAGGUGAGCUGGAGCCAAAUUAUUGUAUUGUGAAUGUCUUUUUUGGGGGGAGAAACUGAAUUUAAUGCUUAAAAAAAAAAAUAGCAGAGAGAAUCCUUUAAUCUUUUUUCCUGUUCUUGGUUUGACCUGCUGCUUUGAGAGAACAGUGCCACAGAGUUAUUACGGCCUUGUAAGGUCAAGACUUGAGUGCCUGCUCAUAUCUCAGCACAGAUGGGCACGUUCUGAGUAGAAAACCUUGAUGGAGAAAUGUAAUAUGCUAGGACUUCAAAUAAACUCCCUCCCCACCCCCAGAUGUUCUCUGUAAAUGUCAGGAAAAGAUGGGCUCUACACCCUACACACACUUUGUGUGUGUAAAAACUAAAGUGGAUGAAAGAACAAAACAGGCAAGAUUGACAUUUAUUUCUCAGUGGCUUGUGCUCUCUGUUGAACAUGUGGCAUCCCAGGCUAUGAGAGACUAUUUAGAAUGGCAAAGCAUCACAAAUCCUUUGAAGUUCAGAGAUAGAAAAUAGGUUAAUUUCUGCCUGGGAAUUUCAAAAAUCCAGUAUUUUGUAUUGUUUUUCUUUCACAAUAGGGGAUUAUCGUCAAGAGCCGAGAGGUGUGCAGUUUGAUGAGGAAAGAGAAGGGGGAGUAAUGCUGUGUCCAGGAGCUCCCAGAAACCUGGUCCCAGCUCUCCUUUUUCCCAUUUACUUCUUAAUCUCCCUGCAUAGAAAAUUAGUAUGGUUUGAAUGUCCAAGGUUUUUUUUGCUUGUUUUUUUGUUGUUGGGGGGGAUGAGUGGGAGCAUUCAAACAUGUGAUAGCCACAUGCUUUCCUAACCAUGUGAUUUCCCCAAAUAUGUACAGGCCCUCAAUGACGCUAAAGUCCUAUUACAAUUCAGUGGGGUUCAGGCUGCAAUCCUCUACACAUUCACUUUGGAGUAAAGUACCACUGGUCAAUGGGGUUUACUUCCUAGCCAACAUGCAUAAGGUCAGGCUGCAUAGGACACAGGUCAUUGGAGAAAUUCCAUUCAUUCCAUAGUCUCCGUCUAUAAUCUUUGAGAAUUCUAGGAAAACAGACAAGGCCCCCACAAACUGGAGGUGGACAAAAGUUGUCCCCAUCUUCAAAAAAAGGGGGGAAAGACCCAGGUAACCAUUUUCUCUGGAUUCUGACCCAAAUCUCUCUUUCCCUACUGCACCCCACAAAUCUAGGAUUAAGGGCAAAAUGCUUUCCAGACCAAAUUAACGACUUUUUGAAAGGCUUAAGGCCUGUUACACCUUAUUUUAGAAAUGGAGCAUUUUCUAUCCUAAAAUAUCAUUAGUAUCCAUUCCUAACUCAUUAAAGCAAUUCAGAUC
rnacentral:lncRNA from 1 species